UGGGGAAUUUUGGACAAUGGGCGCAAGCCUGAUCCAGCAAUGCCGCGUGCAGGAUGAAGGCCUUCGGGUUGUAAACUGCUUUUGUACGGAACGAAACGGCUCUGUCUAAUACAUGGGGCUAAUGACGGUACCGUAAGAAUAAGCACCGGCUAACUACGUGCCAGCAGCCGCGGUAAUACGUAGGGUGCAAGCGUUAAUCGGAAUUACUGGGCGUAAAGCGUGCGCAGGCGGUGAUGUAAGACAGAGGUGAAAUCCCCGGGCUCAACCUGGGAAUUGCCUUUGUGACUGCAAGGCUUGAGUGCGGCAGAGGGGGAUGGAAUUCCGCGUGUAGCAGUGGAAUGCGUAGAUAUGCGGAGGAACACCGAUGGCGAAGGCAAUCCCCUGGGCCUGCACUGACGCUCAUGCACGAAAGCGUGGGGAGCAAACA
rnacentral:rRNA from 1 species